GGCUCGUUGUUCUAGUGGCAUGAUUCUCGCUUUGGGUGCGAGAGACCCCGGGUUCAAUUCCCGGACGAGCCC
rnacentral:tRNA from 1 species